CGGCGAGUGGCGGACGGGUGAGGAAUGCCUCGGAAUCUGCUUUAUCGAGGGGGAUAACUAAUGGAAACUUACGCUAAUACCGCAUACCACCUACGGAUGAAAGAAGGGGACCUUCGGGCCUUGUGCGAUUGAAUGUGCCGAUGUCGGAUUAGCUAGUUGGGGGGGUACGGCUCACCUAGGCGACGAUCCCUAGCUGGUCUGAGAGGAUGAUCAGCCACACUGGAACUGAGACACGGUCCAGACUCCUACGGGAGGCAGCAGUGGGGAAUAUUGGACAAUGGGCGCAAGCCUGAUCCAGCCAUACCGCGUGUAUGAAGAAGGCCUUCGGGUUGUAAAGCCCUUUUGUUGGGAAAGAAAUCCUUCUGGUUAAUACCCGGUUGGGAUGACGUUACCCGCAGAAUAAGCACCGGCUAACUUCGUGCCAGCAGCCGCGGUAAUACGAAGGGUGCAAGCGUUACUCGGAAUUACUGGGCGUAAAGCGUGCGUAGGUGGUCUGUUAAGUCCGAUGUGAAAUCCCUGGGCUCAACCUGGGAACUGCAGUGGAUACUGGGCGACUAGAGUGUGUAGAGGGUAGCGGAUUUCCUGUGGUAGCGGUGAAAUGCGUAGAGAUCAGGAGGAUAUCCAUGGCGAAGGCAGCUACCUGGACCAGACUGACACUGAGGUGACGAAAGCGUGGGGAGCAAACAGAUUAGAUA
rnacentral:rRNA from 1 species